rnacentral:tRNA from 1 species
UCCCUGAUGGCUCAGAGAAUAAAGAAUCUGCCUGUAAUGCAGGAGACCCAGGUUUAAUCCCUGGUCAGGAAG